rnacentral:sRNA from 1 species
CGGGCGUCGAACAGUCAGCUC